AUGGGCUGGGCUUUCUAUUGGGCAAGAAAUAGAAGAUGAAAUCUUCAGGACUCUUGUCCCUUUGGGACUGACCAUGGUGCUGACUGUGGUGCUGCCUGGGAUACUGUCCAUGGUGCUGCCCAUAGCACUUGAAAUUGUAACAGUUUGGUCUUUUCUAUUUAGGAACAUUGGCCUUAAAUUAAAAUGCAUUUGAAAACUACAGUCAGCUCUCCCUCUCCC
rnacentral:lncRNA from 1 species